ACUGACGCUGAGCUCGAAAGUAUGGGUAGCAAACAGGAUUAGAUACCUGGUAGUCCAUACCGUAAACGAUGAAUGCUAAGUGUGGAGGGUUUCCGCCUUCAGUGCUGCAGCUAACGCAUUAAGCAUUCCGCUGGGGAGUACGGCCGCAAGGCUGAAACUCAAAGGAAUUGACGGGGGCCCGCACAGCGGUGGAGCAUGUGGUUUAAUUCGAAGCUACGCGAAGAACCUUACCAGGUCUUGACAUACUAUGCAAAUCUAAGAGAUUAGACGUUCCCUUCGGGGACAUGGAUACAGGUGGUGCAUGGUUGUCGUCAGCUCGUGUCGUGAGAUGUUGGGUUAAGUCCCGCAACGAGCGCAACCCUUAUUAUCAGUUGCCAGCAUUAAGUUGGGCACUCUGGUGAGACUGCCGGUGACAAACCGGAGGAAGGUGGGGAUGACGUCAAAUCAUCAUGCCCCUUAUGACCUGGGCUACACACGUGCUACAAUGGAUGGUACAACGAGUUGCGAACUCGCGAGAGUAAGCUAAUCUCCUAAAGCCAUUCUCAGUUCGGAUUGUAGGCUGCAACUCGCCUACAUGAAGUCGGAAUCGCUAGUAAUCGCGGAUCAGCAUGCCGCGGUGAAUACGUUCCCGGGCCUUGUACACACCGCCCGUCACACCAUGAGAGUUUGUAACACCCAAAGUCGGUGGGGUAACCUUUAGGAACCAGCCGCCUAAGGUGGGACAGAUGAUUAGGGUGAAGUCGUAACAAGGUAACCA
rnacentral:rRNA from 1 species